CUCGCUCUAACGGGGUGCCGGACGCUGCUUGCGAACCGGCUGAGAGGCGAAACGCCAACCCGCUGAACCUGAUCCGGCUUGUACCGGCGGAGGGAUUAGAUGCUUCGGAACC
rnacentral:ncRNA from 1 species